ACAACGUUGGGUUCGUCGGUCUACCGAACAUUAUCACCCGCUCGGUGGAAGAUCUUCCUUUCAUCGU
rnacentral:pre_miRNA from 1 species